rnacentral:rRNA from 1 species
CUACGGGGGGCAGCAGUGAGGAAUAUUGCACAAUGGGGGGAACCCUGAUGCAGCAACGCCGCGUGGAGGAUGACGCAUUUCGGUGUGUAAACUCCUUUUAUAUGUCAAGAAAAUGACGGUAGCAUAUGAAUAAGCGCCGGCUAACUCCGUGCCAGCAGCCGCGGUAAUACGGAGGGCGCAAGCGUUACUCGGAAUCACGGGGCGUAAAGGACGCGUAGGCGGGUUGAAAAGUCAGGUGUGAAAGCCUACAGCUUAACUGUAGAACUGCACUUGAAACUCUCAAUCUAGAGUAUGUGAGGGGCAGAUGGAAUUAGUGGUGUAGGGGUAAAAUCCGUAGAUAUCACUAGGAAUACCUAAAGCGAAGGCGAUCUGCUGGAACAUUACUGACGCUAAGGCGUGAAAGCGUGGGGAGCAAACAGGAUUAGAUACCCCCGUAGUC